CUACGGGAGGCACCAGUGAGGAAUAUUGCACAAUGGGGGGAACCCUGAUGCAGCAACGCCGCGUGGAGGAUGACGCAUUUCGGUGUGUAAACUCCUUUUAUAUGUCAAGAAAAUGACGGUAGCAUAUGAAUAAGCACCGGCUAACUCCGUGCCAGCAGCCGCGGUAAUACGGGGGGUGCAAGCGUUACUCGGAAUCACUGGGCGUAAAGGACGCGUAGGCGGGUUGGAAAGUCAGGUGUGAAAUCCUACAGCUUAACUGUAGAACUGCACUUGAAACUUCUAAUCUAGAGUAUGGGAGGGGGAGAUGGAAUUAGGGGUGUAGGGGUAAAAUCCGUAGAUAUCACUAGGAAUACCUAAAGCGAAGGCGAUCUCCUGGAACAUUACUGACGCUAAGGCGUGAAAGCGUGGGGAGCAAACAGGAUUAGAUACCCCAGUAGUC
rnacentral:rRNA from 1 species